AAACUACUCCCUCCGUCCCAAAGUUCUUGUCUUAGAUUUGUCUAGAUACGGAUGUAUCAAGUCACAUUUUAGUAUUAGAUACAUCCGUAUAUGUAUCAAGUCACAUUUUAGUAUUAGAUACAUCCGUAUCUAGACAAAUCUAAGAAAAGAAAUUUGGGACAGAGGGAGUAGUUA
rfam:Triticum aestivum genome assembly, contig: Triticum_aestivum_CS42_TGACv1_scaffold_229384_3B